UGUUGACAUUUCGCGAGCUUUUUCAUUUGUUACAGACGCUGUGUGAGAGUGUAGCUGUAUCGCAAAUAUCGUGAAAAAUACAAAACUGCCUAUAAACUAGACACGUGUAAUACGGCAGUAUUUUAACAAAAGCAAACCUCUUAAAAGACAGUGAAUAACUUUGUUGACAUACCUCCAAUGUUUUACCUAGGAGACAGAGAUAAAUAUAUAAGCAUCGUAUACCGUCUAAUAUUGUGGAAAACUCAUAAUUAAAAGAUGUAUUAAGAGAUACUUGACAAGAAUUGUAUCCUGAUAAAACAAUGUCUGAAACUUGGAACAACAUCAAGAAUUGUUAGGACUGGCUAAGGUAGCAAUUGACAUUGUUAUUGAUGCACUCUGCUUUGGAUUAUCCUCAGUUGUUAUGAUCAAAGAACUGACAUCAUGAAUUGCAUUUGCACAAGGACAAACUCCAACUUUAUUCUUAAAUCAUGGAGAAUUGCUAAAACUUGCAGUAGUGCUUCCACCACAUAAUAUGACAGUUUUUCAUCUUAAGAAUACUAUGGAACAACACAUGUGUUUAUGUUUUAUAAGAGAAAACAUCUAUAAGGUUCCACCACAUGACACGACAGUUCUUGACAAAGCUAUUGAGCAACAUGUGUGUUUUGAAAGACAAAACGUCAAAAAUAAAAUAAGUUGAAAACAUAUUUGGAAUAAAUAUCAUCUUUCUUUAGAACAUACUUAUUACCAACAUGAAAGUAUUAUGAUAUAUAGUAUUACUAAUUGAACUGAAUUAUAUUAUAUGAAGGUGCGUUGAGA